rnacentral:rRNA from 1 species
CCGGCGCACGGGUGAGUAACACGUAUGCAACCUGGCCGUCACAGGUGGAUAACCGGAAGAAAUUCCGACUAAUACAGCAUAACACUCCUGAGGGACAUCCCUUGGGAGUCAAAGGAGGCAACUCCGGUGACGGAUGGGCAUGCGGCGCAUUAGGUAGUUGGUAGGGUAACGGCCUACCAAGCCGACGAUGCGUAGGGGUUCUGAGAGGAAGGUCCCCCACAUAGGAACUGAGACACGGUCCAAACUCCUACGGGAGGCAGCAG